GUGCCUACGGGACGCAGCAGUGAGGAAUAUUGGUCAAUGGGCGAGAGCCUGAACCAGCCGAGUCGCGUGAAGGAUGACGGCCCUAUGGGUUGUAAACUUCUUUUGUCAGGGAGCAAUUGGGUCCACGCGUGGGCUUAGCGAGAGUACCUGAAGAAAAAGCAUCGGCUAACUACGUGCCAGCAGCCGCGGUAAUACGUAGGUGGCGAGCGUUAUCCGGAAUGAUUGGGCGUAAAGGGUGCGCAGGCGGUCCUGCAAGUCUGGAGUGAAACGCAUGAGCUCAACUCAUGCAUGGCUUUGGAAACUGG
rnacentral:rRNA from 1 species